GGGUUGUGAGGUUAAGCGACUAAGCGUACACGGUGGAUGCCCUGGCAGUCAGAGGCGAUGAAGGACGUGCUAAUCUGCGAAAAGCGUCGGUAAGGUGAUAUGAACCGUUAUAACCGGCGAUGUCCGAAUGGGGAAACCCAGUGCAAUUCGUUGCACUAUCGUUAACUGAAUACAUAGGUUAACGAGGCGAACCGGGGGAACU
rnacentral:rRNA from 1 species